rnacentral:snRNA from 1 species
GUGCUCGCUUCGGCAGCACAUAUACUAAAACUGGAACGAUACAGAGAUUAUCAUGGCGCCUGCGCGAGGAUGACACGCAAAUUCGUGAAGCGUUACAUAUUUUU